rnacentral:lncRNA from 1 species
AACCAAGGUACUGAUAAACAGAGGUAGUGGUUUCAUUCCAGAGGCUGGAGCUCAGUGAGGCCAUUCUUAGAGAUUCUGCUUCUUAUAUCGCUCCUUUUAAUCUAUAGAAGGUAGAAAAUGAAUAUAUGUAACCAGACUCAACGAAUUUGUCAGUUAAAAUCUCAGUUCUAAGAUUUGUUAGUCAGUUUAUAUAGACUGCAUGAAUCUUCCUUAUUUUCUGUCAGAAUUAAUACCAAAAUGGUGUUCUUGAAUUUUUCUAUAUUUCUGUUUAUAGAGUAUAAAAUUCUAUAAACCAUACCAUGUUUUUUUUUAAAUAUAUAUCACUUGUUAGACAAGUGUUUAUCUUCAAGAUUCAUAUAUAGAAAUCAACUGCUAAUGGAGGGAGAAAAAAGGCAGCCGAAUUGGUUUAAAAUUUGACUAAAGCGGAAGUCACAGAACUGUUACCUAAAAG